UUUAUAGGAAAUUUAAUUGAGGGAGGAAAGCACGAAAUCCUUAGCACCAUAUCCAGUAACUAGUUAACUAGUUAUAUGCUUUCCUCGUAAUAAGUCGCACAGUGUUGACCACACUGACACUCCGGGAAUAUCAACAAGUUCUCGCAGGACGUAGAGAGAUCUACGCAUCCAGAUCGGGCUGACCCGCCUCCACGAUCUGAUGCUCCACCGAGAAAGGGUCAAGCUACUAGUUACUACAAAAACAAUCAUCCACUCGCAAACACUCCGACAAUAACAGGCUAUUAACGGCAGCAAACCAAACGGCGACAAGGGUAUCAGAAGCGGACCGUGGACCCUGACGGUUCGGCUUCGCGACCCGACGACAAUCCCCUGGGCAUAAAGGAUGGACAAUAUACUUCUUGGUUUAGGGUUUGCGAGGAUAUUAAACGUUGGUGAUCGUCCAUCAAUCUCAGGCGGAUUGUUCUCGCAUUCUACGCAGCACUCUGCUCCGUGGAAACUAGAUAGAAAUUGGGCGCGAAUGCGAAUGUCUUGAAGCCCCUAAAAAAGCUGCGAGCCAAUCGCAGUUGAAUAUUCCAACCAACAGCCCACCUUCCGUAGCCCCGGGCAAAAUCGUACAAUACACUCCAUCAGCUAAUUUCCGAAUAAUCUCGAAACAGUCUAACGGCCUUGUGGCGUCUGAUUAAGCAGCGAAAACUCAAAAGUUCAAAAGAAGAAAAAGAAGAGAAAAAAACAAGUUGUUCAUUCUCCGCUGUUCUUGCUCUGAAUAAAAUCGAGAAAUCUCCGGAGGCACAGUAAUGGCGUGUAUCACUCGCUGUAUGUUAUGUAUGUAUUAGUGGUAUCGGUGCGUAACACGUACUGUGGGCGGGUCAUCGCAGAACAAAGAAUUCGUCUUAUUCUCCACUACACAGCUCUCCUCUCCGUCUCCGUCUCACUUUUUAGUAUUUACUGUGUACUUUGGACGUCCCUUUUCACGCGAGUCGAGUCAGAUCAACCUCUGAGACGGAAAGCUUAAAUCGUUUCAAAAACCGAAAUGCAUCAACGGUUCAAUUGAGUUCGUUAGCAAGGAUUAACGACCGGCUUUCGAUUCCAGCAACAAUGACGGCGACAACGCAACGGCAUCGGUAAUGGUAACGGCGAGAUGGAUUGACCGAGUAACGAGCUUGCUUGUGACCGGUCCGAUACAUUGAUGCGAGGAAUUUUUCUGAUCCGAGAGCAUAGCUUGCUUUCAUUUUUUUUAUCAACUAACCAAUCAUGUCAGAAAUCAACUGGUCGUCUUCUUCCAGAACAGCAAGCACGUCUAUUCGAUAAUUAUGGCAUACUACAUACGGAAUGACGGAGCUCUUCGGAGUACGGAUAAUGGACACCAGCAAUCAGCCUCAAGAGAAAACACGUCUAGAAAAGCACACGCAAUCAGGACUAAGUUAACUAGUCUACGACAGCCUUGUAAGCUGUCCGAUAGGCGGACCAAAAACACUCAACUAGACUUUUUCGUUAUCUACAUCAUGGUUGGUGGAAAGCCAGCUUGUCUGUAGGUGCUAUUCUUACUAGCACCGGCUGGGUUAGACUGGUUAAUAUAUCUCUCAUUUUCAUUGAUGAGAGUUUUUUUUUUUCCCCCUUCUUCUUCCUUUGCUCCGUAUAUACUACAUACGGAGCCUUCUGUAGAGUCUGCACUGAGGAUGGAUGUAUUCAACCGAUGUGUCUCGGUGUCACAACUGCCCGAGAAUAUUACAUACCGUAGCUAGGCAGAGACGAUCGUGUCUAGCUCCGAUCCACGCGGCCUCGGCAUGGGAUCAUUUAUGCAUUGAGUACGGAGUACAUUUGAAUUCUACGAAACAGUGUACUCCGUACAUUACUACAGUAGUGCGAGCACACACAGCUAAUUGGUCUGUGUCCGAAGUUAGUGUUUAUCAAUGAUCACUAUGUUACUCGUACUACAUCCGUAACACGAUUGUUUGCCUUCUAAGUUCUUACACACCAUGUCUGAAUAAGCUAAGUCCUUCCCGGGAGAAUUCCUUCUACACCAGACAGAUCAUAUCCAUAGAGUGCGGCUAUACACUUUUACUUGUAGAUAUCCGGUAACCUAUGUGAAUCUCUAUGGGGGUUAUUAUCGCACAAGCUUAUUUCAGCGCAGCCAAGGAUAUCACGGCACUCGGCAACACUACAGUCAGUCACAGCUGCAAUGAAUGAAUCCAAUCCAGCCACUAUGCAAGCAACACUGAAAUUCACAGCGACUACUGUACAGUACGUAUGCUUUACUUGAUACAGGCACCAACCGCCCAGCCAGCCAACCUGAAGCCUAUAGAAAGUGGCAGCGUAGUACAUGCAGUACAUGUAGCACAUACCCGCAAAUCCCAGCUGGGUUCGCAAAUGCGUAUGUACGGAAUAUUCAGCAUUUCGGACUUUGAUUCGAUGCGGAUGUUGUCGCACUGCAUGGUAUGCACGUACGUAUUUUUGUAACGUGUAAUGUAGAUACAUACACUCCCACCCAAUCGCUCACAUAGUCAUACAACUACGUACGUACAUAGUAUGAUAUGUAUGCACACAAAAACUCGACAGGGAUGUGGAUAUAAGAAUGACAACACUAGGAUUUCAUUCAACUAGUUAGGUUAGUCGUCUUCCCCCACCUCCCUCUUCGCGAAAUUUCCAGGUCAAAUCAACAUCCCCCCCCCAACCCCCCACCUCAGUCUGUUGAAUCGGAUUGACCUGGGCCUAGAUGGGCAGAUGCCUGCCUAUGACCCGCGCCGGCGCCGCGUUCCUGCGCUGUCAGCGGGCGCUAUGUGCUUGGGGUUGGUUUGAGGGAGGGGUAAAUCACGUACAUCUGUCUACCUCCCUGGCAACUUUAGGGAUUGACGGAGGGAGGGGAGGGGUGGCACAUACCCAGACAACGGGUCGUCCCAUAAUCGAUCUUGAUAUUGAGCUGAUUAUAGCAACCCUCCCCGUACCGAGUACGUAGUUAACUAGUUAUAGGUUAUGCUAUGCAUGGCUUAUCAAAAGACCCGUCUCGUCUCGCCUGGCUUGUCAUGAUCAUUCGAAAUGGAUGUCAUGUCAUGUCAUGUCAUGCCAUGUCAUAUCCCGUCAAUCCCAUCAAAUUCAGCUUCUACAUGCUUGUAAUACGUAAUGGCCUUUCUUUCCUUUUUUUUUCGACGGAUUGACAUUUUGUACAGCCGAAAUACUACACUCCCAUACUACAUACUGUAUCUGACGCACAUAUAUCUCCGAAAUCGAGUCUGCAAUGGGGCGUAAUUUCUCCGAUAAACCACCUCCUCCCCCACUGGGUCACUACAUAUUGUGAGACAUGAGGAAAAUACCUAGAUUUUCACACCACAAAUCAAACAGUCGGUUUUUGAGUCUGGACUGAUACAGAGAACGCCAAGACGGUUAUAAUUCACGAAUUAAGGAGGGGGGCCUUACACCCUCAUUAUAGUAGUCCACAGCUAUAAUAUCAAUUAUGCGUAAAAAAAAAAAAAAAAAAAACAAAAAGAAAAGACAAUGUAUCAAUAGGAUAAGCAAGUUAGCUAGACCUACCAUAAUUGGAGGGAGGCGUGCUCGCUUACAAUGUACGGGUCGGACUUGGGAGUUUGGUCUGCUAUCAGUUUAGCGAGGAAAGACUCAUCUUUGGGGGAAACCGGAGAUUUAAGGGAAUGGGAAAAAAUAGCUCAGCUC
rnacentral:lncRNA from 1 species